rnacentral:misc_RNA from 1 species
GAUGAAGAACGCAGCGAAAUGCGAUAAGUAGUGUGAAUUGCAGAAUUCAGUGAAUCAUCGAAUCUUUGAACGCACAUUGCGCCCCUUGGUAUUCCAUGGGGCAUGCCUGUUCGAGCGUCAUUUGUACCUUCAAGCUUUGCUUGGUGUUGGGUGUUUGUCUCGCCUUUGCGUGUAGACUCGCCUUAAAGUAAUUGGCAGCCGGCGUAUUGAUUUCGGAGCGCAGUACAUCUCGCGCUUUGCACUCAUAACGACAGCGUCCAAAAGUACAUUUUACACUCUUGACCUCGGAUCAGGUAGGGAUACCCGCUGAACUUAAGCAUAUCAAUAAGCGGAGGA